rnacentral:sRNA from 2 species
GUCGCUGCAAAUUCAGCGACCGGGUUUGGCGACUCGAAGACCACACGGCGCACAAGCGCCCACCAUCCGAAAGCAGGCGCUUUUUUC